rnacentral:rRNA from 1 species
CCCUUAGAUGUUCUGGGCCGCACGCGUGCUACACUGAGUGGAUCAGCGGGUCAGGUUGCGCGAAAGUGUUUCCUAAUCUUGAAAUCCGCUCGUGAUGGGGAUUGACGGUUGCAAUUUUCCGUCAUGAACGAGGAAUACCUUGUAAGCGCGGGUCAUCAUCCCGCGCUGAAUACGUCCCUGCCCUUUGUACACACCGCCCGUCGCUCCUACCGAUUGAGUGGUCCGGUGAGGCUUUGGGAUCUGAGCAAAAAGAGCGUUUCGCUCGCUUGGCUCGGAAAACUCAGUCGAACCUUAUCAUUUAGAGGAAGGAGAAGUCGUAACA